UGGGGAAUAUUGCACAAUGGGGGGAACCCUGAUGCAGCGACGCCGCGUGAGGGAAGAAGGUUUUCGGAUUGUAAACCUCUGUCCUCUGUGACGAUAAUGACGGUAGCAGAGGAGGAAGCCACGGCUAACUCCGUGCCAGCAGCCGCGGUAAUACGGAGGGUGCGAGCGUUAAUCGGAAUUACUGGGCGUAAAGCGCUCGUAGGCGGUAUGUCAAGUCAAGGGUGAAAUCCCCGCGCUCAACGUGGGAACUGCCUUUGAAACUGGCAAACUGGAGUGUGUGAGAGGAUAGUGGAAUUCCAGGUGUAGGAGUGAAAUCCGUAGAUAUCUGGAGGAACAUCAGUGGCGAAGGCGACUAUCUGGCACAUAACUGACGCUGAGGAGCGAAAGCGUGGGUAGCAAACAGG
rnacentral:rRNA from 1 species